rnacentral:rRNA from 1 species
GAUGAACGCUAGCUACAGGCUUAACACAUGCAAGUCGAGGGGAAACGACAUCGAAAGCUUGCUUUUGAUGGGCGUCGACCGGCGCACGGGUGAGUAACGCGUAUCCAACCUGCCCACCACUUGGGGAUAACCUUGCGAAAGUAAGACUAAUACCCAAUGACGUCUCUAGAAGACAUCUGAAAGAGAUUAAAGAUUUAUCGGUGAUGGAUGGGGAUGCGUCUGAUUAGCUUGUUGGCGGGGUAACGGCCCACCAAGGCGACGAUCAGUAGGGGUUCUGAGAGGAAGGUCCCCCACAUUGGAACUGAGACACGGUCCAAACUCCUACGGGAGGCAGCAGUGAGGAAUAUUGGUCAAUGGACGAGAGUCUGAACCAGCCAAGUAGCGUGCAGGAUGACGGCCCUAUGGGUUGUAAACUGCUUUUAUAAGGGAAUAAAGUGAGUCUCGUGAGACUUUUUGCAUGUACCUUAUGAAUAAGGACCGGCUAAUUCCGUGCCAGCCGCCGCCGUAA